rnacentral:lncRNA from 1 species
UUUCUCUGCGAGGGAAACAUGCAAGCUUGCGUCGCAGUUUAAUUCUCAGCCUGUGUGUGGCUUUGCAUGCAACACCCGAAAUAAUUCUUGCAUAACCAGCAGUGACGUCCUGUGAGCCCUCUCUCGGCCCGGAAGUGUUGGCAGCCCUGACUGAGAAGAAACAUGUCUGCCGCUGUAGUAAACAACGUUGGCGUGAAGCCCGAAGAAAAACACCAAAAUGAGGAGGAAAAUGCAGAGGACGUGGAUGACAUAGUGGACGGGACGGCGCCCGAGGAGGCC